rnacentral:tRNA from 1 species
GCGCCUGUAGCUCAGAUGGAUAGAGCAACGGACUUCUAAUCCGUAGGUCGCAGGUUCGAAUCCUGCCAGGCGUA